UAUUGGAAACUGUUCCUGUAUGAAAUCCUUCUUGAACACCAGUUCCUUGGCUUUAACUUUAGUCAUCUGUUUGGUGUGUCAUUACCAUGAUGGACUAGUUCUGUGUCUGCUCAUCAUGACAGGAGCAGGCCCACUAAUGUCAGUUCUGGCUUGGCCCUGAAGAACCCACCUCUUCCACCCAGUGGGCUACUCCUAGAACUGGGUGGCUGGAAGUCGUCAUUUAUAGACAAACUGAAGAAAGAAGAACACAAAGCUCCACAAAAGAAGGAUUGUGGAUGUCAGUCACACACUGAUCACCAGAAUGAACUCACAGGGCGGAAGCAC